rnacentral:rRNA from 1 species
UACGGGGGGAGCAAGCGUUGUUCGGAUUUACUGGGCGUAAAGGGCGCGUAGGCGGCGUGACAAGUCACUUGUGAAAUCUCCGGGCUUAACUCGGAACGGUCAAGUGAUACUGUCGUGCUAGAGUACAGAAGGGGCAACUGGAAUUCUCGGUGUAGCGGUGAAAUGCGUAGAGUAUCGAGAGGAACACCUGCGGCGAAGGCGGGUUGCUGGGCUGAUACUGACGCUGAGGCGCGAAAGCUAGGGGAGCGAACGGG